UUAUUCAUCAUCAUAAACUACCGAGAAUUGCUCAGUUCGUCUUCUUCAGGCAGAGAAGAGGACAGUAGAAUGAUCAGAGCAUUGACUGAGUGGAAUGGGGCAGGUAAGAAAAACCAGUGACCACACUCUGUUCAGCCCAUGUCCAUUCUGCUCUGGAAAGCUUCUCAGGCAUACGCUUGAAAGGAAAGCAUGUCUGACAGUACUGAAACACAAGAAAUAA
rnacentral:lncRNA from 1 species